rnacentral:tRNA from 1 species
GCAUCAGUGGUUUAGUGGUAAAAUCCAUCGUUGCCACUCAAUGAUAUCGACGGGCCCCGUGUUCGAUUCACGGCUGAUGCA